rnacentral:rRNA from 1 species
GACGUAGGGUGCGAGCGUUGUCCGGAUUUAUUGGGCGUAAAGAGCUCGUAGGCGGCUUGUUGCGUCAGCUGUGAAAACCCGCGGCUUAACCGUGGGCCUGCAGCUGAUACGGGCAAGCUAGAGUUCGGUAGGGGAGACUGGAAUUCCUGGUGUAGCGGUGAAAUGCGCAGAUAUCAGGAGGAACACCAACGGCGAAGGCAGCCCGCUGGGACGGUACUGACGCUAAGGCGCGAAAGCCGGGGGAGCAAACAGG